UUGAGCUCUGUGACUUCACUCCCAUCUAUGAGUGGCAUCUGGCGGAGAAGGAAAAGAAGAAACUGAUGACCUCUGAGGAGAAGAAAGCCAUGAAAGAGGAGAAAUCGAGGCAGGAGGAGAAAUACACGUGGGCUAUUGUUGAUGGUGUGAAAGAAAAGGUUGGAAAUUUUAGAGUUGAACCACCAGGGUUAUUUCGAGGCCGUGGAGAACAUCCCAAGAUGGGAAAGCUAAAAAGAAGAAUCCGCCCACGAGAUAUUACGAUUAAUAUAGGGAAGGGCGUACCAAUUCCAGAAUGUCCUAUACCCGGUGAAAGCUGGAAAGAAGUUAGACACGACAAUACAGUCACAUGGCUAGCAUAUUGGAAUGAUCCAAUCAAUCAAAAAGAGUUAAAGUAUGUGUUCCUGGCUGCAAGUAGCUCUUUAAAAGGGCAAAGUGAUAAGGAGAAG
rnacentral:misc_RNA from 1 species